CAUGGAUUGGCAGAGGGGUACGCAGGGAUGAGCCCUUACCACAGUGCCAGAGGAACUUGGAGAACCCCCAAAUUAGUCCUUCAGUAUUCCUGAGGUGACUGAACCACAAUUUAUCUCCUCAGUUUCCUGAGUCGGAUACAUCCUUGUCUUCCACUUCUGACAUUUGGUGGCACACACUUAAUUGAAACCUUGUAACUUCAGAGACUGCUUGUAUUUGCAUUAUUUGCAUGUAGCAAAAAAUGUCCUCAGCUGUAACCUUAUUUAGUGCUCACUGAAUGCAAACCUCUCCAACAUGUUUGUUCUUAAUUUUCCCCUGACCAUGGUGUUAACAUGUGAAACACUUUUAAAACAGCCCCUAGAUGAAGAGCCUGUUCUGCCCUUGGCUUUGCAGGCAGGUCUGCCACCAUAUGUGCUGUUCUUGAUGCUGUUAUGAUAACGAGACCUUUAUUUACAUUUCUGUCCUUUCUGCUUGGCAUAAACUCAAGUGGGUGACCUGCAGCUGAACAGGACAUGCCUCAGGGCUGUGAGAGGGUGUUGGGUGUCCCUGGUUUCCCCCAGUCUCAGGGCCUAAUCCUCAGUGUCAAUGGCCUGUCCCCAUGGAGAUGCCUUUGGACUGGGACUGCUGGCCGCCAUUUUCUUUUGGCCCACUGAGGUGGUGCAAGGCAGGUGCCGUCAGACAUUUUGUGGCACCCUCUGUGAGGGAGCAGCUGGUCAACACUGAGCUCUGACAGGAAUUUUCUGCUGUUUUCCCGUUUCUUCUUUAAAUUUCAUCUUAAGGUCUUCUGAAAGUUAGGAACUGCUGAAAAGGAAUUGGGAAGAAAGAAUUUUCUCCACUUUGUGUGAGGAAAGCCUGUGCAUUGCCCUACUUGGUUGUUUCCUGCCACCAGCAGCAUCGGGUUGCUGCCUGGAGCACCUGAGAUGGCGGCAGUCUCCUCAGGUGAUAGGAGCUGCUACUUCCAAAUAAUUGUAUUUCACCAGAUCACAUAUGUAUUUAGUGUACUUGUGAGGCCGAGAUCUUCUGGAGUAGAUGGAAUUAAAAAGAAAACUGUUCUAUUUGCUUGGUAAUUAUUUAAAGAGAAGUAAUUAGUAGAUUAAUCUUACUGCGAGAUCUUACCUCAUGGCCUGACUUCACAAGAGACUGAGUAUCUUGGUCCUCCUCAGCAAGUGUAGAGUGCAUAUUUAAAUCCAAGUCAUAUCACUGCGCUCAAAGGAGUAGAAGUUUAAGUCUUUGCUUUAAGAUAAUGUUCGUUGGUUUGCAGGUUCUGGAUCAGUUUAGAGCUCUCCUAGACCUUAACUUACCAUUGUUUAUUGCAUCUGAAUUAGAGGGUAAUCUUUAAAUGUAGUUGAAAUCUGAGCAGUUCUACACAGAGGUUUCAGGGCCCACCAUCUUUGUCAGUUUUCAGGGAGGGGUUUAAUUUUGCCAUUUCACAGAAUCAUAGGGGGUGGAAGGGACCUCCAGAGAUUAUUGAGUCCAACCCCCCUGCCAAAGCAGGUUCCCUAUUUGUCCAACUCAUGCUCUUUUCCAAACAAAGGUUUUGGAAAACUUUGAGCUAUUCACCCAGAUCAGUACAAACCAAAAUAAAAGCAGUAACUUAGACUUGAUUUUUUUUUUU
rnacentral:lncRNA from 1 species